AUCCCAGUGGCAAUGAGGACUAUCUCAUGGGACCGUAGUUCCUGCUUCCCCUGCUGUGGGCCAGGGACUGGGCCUGGCCCACAGAUCAUCUCUAGCCAUUGCCCUCGUGUGGAAGACGAUGGGUACAGCGGCUGGGAGCUGGGAUGGAGGGGUGAGCCAGAGGGAGGGAAGGAUCAGGGGGCUGUCUGUGGGAGGUGACACCCGAGUGGCACCCCAAGGCUCCACACAGGAAUGAUUCAAGCAAAGGGAGCAGAGGGAAUUUCUGGCUACUUCAGAGGAGAAUUAGAACCAGUCAGACUUUGCCUUCCUGUGUGUCCCCCCACCGCCCUCCCCGUUUCUGUGCCUGCAGGAACGGGAGUUGAUGAGAAUGAGGAAGGUAAAAAAGAACAAUCCUGGCUUGGAAGUCUUGUCAUGGUGGCUCAGC